rnacentral:rRNA from 1 species
CCCGCCGGACCCUACUGCUAUCGGGGUGGGACUAAGACAUGCGAGUCGAGCGUCUCUAGUUAUGGUGAGACGCGGCAGACGGCUCAGUAACACGUGGCUAACCUACCCUCAGGACAGGGACAAACCCGGGAAACUGGGGCUAAUACCCGAUAGGCGAGGGCGCCUGGAAUGGUUCUUCACCCAAAGGGCUUUGGAAGCAUACUUUUCAUUGUCGCCUGGGGAUGGGGCCGCGUCCGAUCAGGUUGUUGGUGAGGUAACGGCUUACCAAGCCUAUAACCGGUACGGGCCGUGAGAGCGGUAGCCCGGAGGUGGGCACUGAGACAAGGGCCCAGGCCCUACGGGGCGCAGCAGUCGCGAAAACUCCGCAAUGCACGAAAGUGUGACGGGGCUACCCCGAGUGCCGUCCGCUGAGGAUGGCUUUUCCCCGGUGUAACUAGCCGGGGGAAUAAGGAGAGGGCAAGACUGGUGUCAGCCGCCGCGGUAAUACCAGCUCUCCGAGUGGUAGGGAUGAUUAUUGGGCUUAAAGCGUCCGUAGCCAGCUUAGCAAGUCUCCUGUUAAAUUCAGCGACCUAAUCGUUGAGCCGCGGGAGAUACUACUAGGCUAGGAGGCGGGAGAGGCCGACGGUACUUCCGGGGUAGGGGUGAAAUCCUAUAAUCCCGGGAGGACCACCAGUGGCGAAGGCUGUCGGCUAGAACGCGCUCGACGGUGAGGGACGAAAGCUGGGGGAGCGAACCGGAUUAGAUACCCGGGUAGUCCCAGCUGUAAACGAUGCGAGCUAGGUGUUGGGGUGGCUACGAGCCACUUCAGUGCCGCAGGGAAGCCAUUAAGCCCGCCGCCUGGGGAGUACGAUCGCAAGAUUGAAACUUAAAGGAAUUGGCGGGGGAGCACCACAA